UGCCCACCAGCAAGCUUAACCCGCAAAAUUCAACGCCACCCUAUAAAUAACCCCUAAAAUAAUGAUACCACCAUAAACAAACCAUUUUU
rnacentral:rRNA from 1 species